rnacentral:rRNA from 1 species
CGUCGUCAGCUCGUGUCGUGAGAUGUUGGGUUAAGUCCCGUAACGAGCGCAACCCUUGUCCUUAGUUACCAGCACGUUAUGGUGGGCACUCUAAGGAGACUGCCGGUGACAAACCGGAGGAAGGUGGGGAUGACGUCAAGUCAUCAUGGCCCUUACGGCCUGGGCUACACACGUGCUACAAUGGUCGGUACAAAGGGUUGCCAAGCCGCGAGGUGGAGCUAAUCCCAUAAAACCGAUCGUAGUCCGGAUCGCAGUCUGCAACUCGACUGCGUGAAGUCGGAAUCGCUAGUAAUCGUGAAUCAGAAUGUCACGGUGAAUACGUUCCCGGGCCUU